GGAUGCGAUCAUACCAGCACUAAAGCACCGGAUCCCAUCAGAACUCCGAAGUUAAGCGUGCUUGGGCGAGAGUAGUACUAGGCCGGGUGACCUCCUGGGAAGUCCUCGUGUUGCAUCCC
rnacentral:rRNA from 1 species